rnacentral:rRNA from 1 species
UACGUAGGGGGCAAGCGUUGUCCGGAUUUACUGGGCGUAAAGGGCGCGUAGGCGGCCAGCGCAAGUCAGUUGUGAAAUCUCCGGGCUUAACUCGGAACGGUCAACUGAUACUGCGCGGCUAGAGUGCAGAAGGGGCAACUGGAAUUCUCGGUGUAGCGGUGAAAUGCGUAGAUAUCGAGAGGAACACCUGCGGCGAAGGCGGGUUGCUGGGCUGACACUGACGCUGAUGCGCGAAAGCCAGGGGAGCGAACGGG